rnacentral:lncRNA from 1 species
GGAUUAAGAGUUAUUUUCUUAAGCGCUUGAAAAAUGUUUUUCCUGUAGCUUUGCCAAAAAUAGCAGAAACCAGCCUGGAAAACAGCCCUGAGACAAUGUGUUAUCCAACUUUAUCGGGAAGUGACAGUGGCCAAUAUUCUUCUUCAUCUGUCAGCCUCCCACCUAAUUUUGAAACCAGCAUGGAAAAUAAUCCUCAGAUGAUGAAUUACCCACCUUUCUUGGAAGAUGGCCGUGCUCAAGAAACUUCAUAUUUCUCCAUCCCUCCCAGUUUUGGUGAGUUCGAAAUGAUACAUAUUACAAGUAGCACUCUUUAAUCUAGAUUUAUUAACACUCUUAAUGUGA